CACGUAGGGGGCGAGCGUUGUCCGGAUUUAUUGGGCGUAAAGAGCUCGUAGGCGGCUCGGUAAGUCGGGUGUGAAACUCUAGGCUCAACCUAGAGACGCCACCUGAUACUGCUGUGGCUAGAGUCCGGUAGGGGAGCAUGGAAUUCCUGGUGUAGCGGUGAAAUGCGCAGAUAUCAGGAGGAACACCAGUGGCGAAGGCGGUGCUCUGGGCCGGUACUGACGCUGAGGAGCGAAAGCGUGGGGAGCAAACAGG
rnacentral:rRNA from 1 species